GCAAAAAUUCGACGGAGAGGGUGCUGGUAGGGCAAGCAAGUGAUUGCGGAAUACUGUUCAUUCAUGCGUAGCAAAUGCUACGAAGGAGCUACCAAGGAGAUCCGACAUGUUUGUGCGAUCAAUGUUUGGGAGUCUAGGGCCAUUCUUUCCAAAAAAUCGACCAUAAAUGGUGAUGGUCAGUAGCCUGCAACGUUUUUCUCCGAGGUGAAAGUUCUACAGUUUCAGUUGUACAACAUUUGUGUCCUGAAGAACACAUUCAAAGUUCUUGUGCCAUUCUGAUGCUUGCUCUGUCCAAUGGUGUUCUAUACAGUGAUACUAUUGGGUGAUUCUCAUGUUGGAAAAACAUGUUUGCGUGAUAGAUAUGUUGAGGGACCAGCUGGUUUCAAACAUUAUGAAGGAGUCCUUAUUCCAAGUGAGAUAUUUUCUUCUAAUCAGCAUUAUUUAAAUGGAGUAAGUUUAAUUAUUACAUGACCAAGUUAGUCCAGUCAAGGCCAAUAACCAAAACCAACCAAUCAGAUUACUUUAUUGCUGUUCCAUAUUUUCGCUUAUGGCUUACUUGUUUACAGGAAAUAACUUAGAUUUCAAAGCUUAUUAAUCGUUUCCUUUCAACUUUUUCCCCUUUUUGCCUCGUGCCCAUGUGACCAGAGCCACGUGGACACUAGGAUAUGGAGGGUUUUUGCUGUAUUCCUUUCUAAGGAUUCUUCCCAUUCCAGUCUUAAUGAAGAUUCCUGUGUAAGGAUACUUCGCAUGCCCAAUGUAAGAUUCCUGUGUAAAGAGUUUUUGCAUUUCUGAUUGUAUUCUGUUUACUUAACAUUUUAUUAACAACAUGAAAGCAUGUCAUCGCAUCACGUUACUUGGGUUAAACCAAGAAGCAAGUCAAAACCACUCUAGACAAAUCACACGGAGCGGAUUCACGCUGACUGGUUUUCGAAUUGAAUCCGGGAAAUGAAGCAAAAAACUUCAUACUUAAGCUUAAAGUUGGUUUUAAUUACAGAGCCACGUAAAGGUCCCUCAAACGGAAUCUGUUU